rnacentral:rRNA from 1 species
UACGAAGGGGGCUAGCGUUGCUCGGAAUCACUGGGCGUAAAGCGCACGUAGGCGGCUUCUUAAGUCAGGGGUGAAAUCCUGGAGCUCAACUCCAGAACUGCCUCUGAUACUGAGGAGCUCGAGUCCGGGAGAGGUGAGUGGAACUCCGAGUGUAGAGGUGAAAUUCGUAGAUAUUCGGAAGAACACCAGUGGCGAAGGCGGCUCACUGGCCCGGUACUGACGCUGAGGUGCGAAAGCGUGGGGAGCAAACGGG